rnacentral:lncRNA from 1 species
CGUUCACUGGGCAGCCCCUGCUGUUCUUUUAUCCUGGGAGUGCAGAGGACCUGUCCUCCUCUUCUGUGAUCCAGUUGACCCUGCCUCUCCCUGGUGGGAGCUGGUGUGGGGCGGAGGAGAAGCAUCAGGAGGAGGGUGCGCUCCGAAAGGGAGUCAGGCAGCAUUUCCUGCAGACAGCUCUAUCUGCCCCGCAUACCAAUCCCCUUACACACAGAUUGGCCCAUAGGCUCAAGCACAAGAACAAUUUGGCCUUCUCUCUUCUCUUGCUGACGCACUUACUGCAGAUCCAGGUCUUCCGCUAGUUGUGGCCAUGAAUGACAAGAGAAUGUUCUAGAGCACACCACCCAGAGAGAAGAGGCCCAGGUGUGCACCAGACUCCCAGGCUCUUGCUUUGUCCCAAUGUGAUGUGUGGUCUUCACCCGGCACCCUGUCACCAAGUGGUCCCAGCCAGGAUACUUGGAGUCGAGAUCAAACCUGAGCUGGAAGCCUAACUAGGCCCUGUAGACUAGAGCUAUGCACAUGUGCAGGAAUGUAUAUGAGUGUAACAGUUGCUUAGGCGCACUGUGGGAACCCAGAACAUGGCCUAAUGCUCUGGGACAGUGACAGAGGAUUUUUGAGACAAGUCUUGAAGGAUUGCAUUGGGAUUGGAGAAACAAG